rnacentral:rRNA from 1 species
GAUGAACGCUGGCGGCGUGCUUAACACAUGCAAGUCGAACGGAAAGGCCCAAGCUUGCUUGGGUACUCGAGUGGCGAACGGGUGAGUAACACGUGGGUGCUCUGCCCUGCACUUCGGGAUAAGCCUGGGAAACUGGGUCUAAUACCGGAAAGGACCACGGUUGGGAUGGGGUGGUGGACAGUGUUUCGGUGUGGGGUGGGCUCGCGGCCUAUCAGCUUGUUUGUGGGGUAAUGGCCUACCAAGGCGUCGACGGGUAGCCGGCCUGGGAGGGUGUACGGCCACCUUGGGCCUGAGGGACGGCCCAGUCUCCUACGGGGGACAGCAGUGGGGAGUAUUGCACAAUGGGGGCAAGCCUGAUGCAGCGGCGCCGCGUGGGGGAUGAAGGCCUUCGCGUUGUAAACUCCUUUCGCUAGGGACGAAGCGCAAGUGACGGUACCGGGAGAAGAAGCACCGGCUAACUACGUG